GAUGAACGCUGGCGGCGUGCCUAAUACAUGCAAGUAGAACGCUGAAGCUUGGUGCUUGCACCGAGCGGAUGAGUUGCGAACGGGUGAGUAACGCGUAGGUAACCUGCCUCUUAGCGGGGGAUAACUAUUGGAAACGAUAGCUAAUACCGCAUAAAAGUCGAUAUCGCAUGAUAUUGAUUUGAAAGGUGCAAAUGCAUCACUAAGAGAUGGACUUGCGUUGUAUUAGCUAGUUGGUGAGGUAACGGCUCACCAAGGCGACGAUACAUAGCCGACCUGAGAGGGUGAUCGGCCACACUGGGACUGAGACACGGCCCAGACUCCUACGGGAGGCAGCAGUAGGGAAUCUUCGGCAAUGGGGGCAACCCUGACCGAGCAACGCCGCGUGAGUGAAGAAGGUUUUCGGAUCGUAAAGCUCUGUUGUAAGAGAAGAACGAGUGUGAGAGUGGAAAGUUCACACUGUGACGGUAACUUACCAGAAAGGGACGGCUAACUACGUG
rnacentral:rRNA from 1 species